rnacentral:rRNA from 1 species
GCGUGAAUGAAGAAGGCCUUAGGGUUGUAAAGUUCUUUCACCCGCGAAGAUGAUGACGGUAGCGGGAGAAGAAGCCCCGGCUAACUCCGUGCCAGCAGCCGCGGUAAUACGGAGGGGGCAAGCGUUGUUCGGAAUUACUGGGCGUAAAGGGUGCGCAGGCGGCGUCACCAGUCAGAUGUGAAAUCCCCGGGCUCAACCUGGGAACUGCAUUUGAUACUGUGAUGCUAGAGUUCGGGAGAGGGUAGUGGAAUUCCCAGUGUAGAGGUGAAAUUCGU